GUAUCUUUCUGGUGCAGCAUUUUAAAAAGCAUUAGCACUGUUUAAAUUGGUGAUUGUGUGAAAAUGAAGCCAGCAUCCUGUUUGUACAGUCUUAUAGCAUACAUAAUAGGCUUCCCUUCCUGUAUUCAUAGAAAAAAUAUUCCGUGUCUGGUAAAGUAAGUGAACAGUGAAGAAAGUAUGUGGAUAUAAAAACCUCAGUGAUGAUAUUUUUAGCUCUUACAGAUGAAGUUAACUUCCAGACCUAUUAAGCGUAUAUCAGGCCAGGAUGUGUUUAGAAGUAAGAAAAGUAGCAAUGAAGUAAAAAGGGAAUUCAGUGCAGGGAUAUAAUUAAGUUGUGAAUUGAUCUAUUUCUAGAGGGACAGUACCUUUGAACUAAAAAUGAUUUUAGUCAGGUGAAGGAUCUUGUAGGGCAUGUCAGGGAGUCACUGGACUUGGCUUUGGUAAAUAAAUGCAAAAAUGAGUUCCUUCUAUUCUUGUAUUUCAGUGCCAUGUCCUUUAGAUUUUAUGGGGCCAAUGUAUUAUUUUAAAACCUCCAGAACUUGGUUCUGAAGUCAGGAGUUUCCUGAAUCAUAUACUGAUGGUGUAGAUUUUCAGGUGGCGUUCCUUGCAAACUAUUCUAAGAUAAGUGAUAACAACACAGCAGACAAUAUUUACUUUUAAGAUUUGUAUGAUUUUUUUUUUUUCCUUUCCCCAUUAACAGAUUCUUGCUAGUGUGGUAUUGUAAUUUAGUGUUUAUUGGUAACAACUGAGAAAGUGAAAUGUUCUGUUUGUAGGAAUGUAGCUUACAAACUUUGUAUGUUUGAACUGAAGAUUUGUUUGGAUAGAGAUCACAACCUUCUUCCUGUGGUAGGUCAGCUUAAUGGGUAUAUAUGAUUGUUGUAUUGUGUGGAAAGUUAAGUACAUGAAACUUUUUAAUUUAUAAACUGGGCUUGAGAGAACCUCCAGAAGAAAGUUGGGGAACUUAGCUUAUGCAAGGUGUAUUGUGAAUUUUAAGGAUAUCUCAAAUGCCACGGAGGAAGGAUUUUUGCAGAAGAAAAGAUAGAAGAAAUGCUCGUGUGGCCUUCCUUUUGCAUUCAUACUGCUGUCUUUUGAUUGGUCUCUAGCUUGUUGGAUCUAGCUUCUGGACAUUGUAUAAACAAGAUACCCUUUAGGAAUUCUGCAUUUAUGUCAGCUAGUAGUUGAAUCAUCCCUGCAAAAUGUGUAGUUUUCCACUGGGCAUAGUACUUCUGUCAGAUCUUAUGCAAAUUGCAACAUGUAUUUUUGAUUCAACACAUCUCAGCUCUGAUCUCUCUCUUGUGGGUUUUUUUGUUCUUUUUUUCUUUCUUUCUUUUUUGCCUCCCUCCCCUUUACUCCUGUGCUUGUGCUACCUUAUCCCUGUACUGCUAGAAUGAUUUCCUUAUUUUUUAAACCAUCCGUUGUUACUGUUUUCGGAAGACAGAGGCCAUUGCAUGAUGAGUGGAAAACCAUGUGAAUAAGUUAAGUAUCUUCACAUUUGUCUUUGCCUUGCUUUUAGACUGGAAGCUCUUCAGAACAAGCAUUAACUUUAUACAGGUUGUUAUGGAUUUAAUGAACUGAAGGCAAAUGAUUGUCUAUAGUGAGUUUUCGCUUUUAAGCAGUGCAAGCACUGAUUGAUCAAUUGUUGGCUUAUAAUAAGAGAGAACGUAUAUGGGUGGAUUUUUUGCUGGUUUUUUUGUUUGUUUCGUUUUAAUUCAAUGGUCAAAGGAGAACUGGCUGUGCUAUUUGAGCCUGGUUUUAAAUUCAGAACAGAAUAGCUUAGCCACACAUUUUAUUGGCUUUAUUAUCCUCUUAAAGAGAAAGUUAAGUUUGCGAAUGUUAUCUAGCUCUGAUAACCAACGUUUUUUUAAUAAGUAAAAAUCUUAGAAGUGUGUUAGCUCUGGACAAUGGGGAAAGAAGCCUGGGAAGUAGGACAAUGAGGCUUAACCAGACUGGUUAAAAGCAACUGCAGGGAUUGAAAGGGUUUAUCCAAAGCUGUUUUGAAUGUAACAGGCUGUUUUCUCUGCAUGUCUGACAGUUGGACUUUUUUGAUUCUCUUUGGAAAUGGUCUUUGUAAGAAUCAUCAUGUAUGCUGUUCCUUAUGAAUUUUCAUGUUACGGUUUGUUCAUUUCACCAGGAUAAAUAUUCCAGGGUUUGCACUGGACCAGGUAAUACUGCUUAUUAAUCCCUUUCCUGAAAAGAGGAAUUGUAGUAUUGAACUAUUAUCUAAGCUUGGUUAUUACAGAGGUUCCUGGAGACCAAAGCCUAAUCUGAGUCUCUUGAAAGAAAUGUUGAGUCCUGACAGCUACAAGGGAUGCAGUCGAUAUUCAGAGAGAAUAGCAGUGCAGCUUGCGUUGGGGUCAUGAUGCAAUCUUCUAGUAAGUGGUGUACUUGAGUGUUCUCACAUAAUGUACUAUUCACUGUAAUGCAUCUAUAAGAAGCACUUGUGUCCUGAUAAGAUGUUGUGAUACUUCACCGCUCCUGUGAAUUAAUUCACUUUGUCUGGAGAGUAUGUAUUUCUGUAUUUUGCAUUUUAAAGCCAGGACUUAGCAAUCCUGUAUGUCUCAUCCUAUUACUUGUCAUGCAGUUACUGUCUCUUUAGAACAAACGUGUAUUCCUGUCUGGGCUUAUUAGCAUUAAUAGCUGUUCUGGUUACCCAGUGGAAUACUGAUGCACAAUGCUAGCAACUGGGAAUGCGAAGAAGGUAGCCUUUAAGGGAAGGCACAAUGCAGGGAUUAAAGAGGGCAUUGCUUUAGAAAAAUGCUGGUGUUCCUUAAAGUCAAACUGCAGCAGACACUGCGGUUGAGGUUAAACUUAGCUGACGCAUUGAAAAUAAAUUGAGAUCUUUUAAAGCUAUUGAUUUUGUUUGGAAGGCUGCCACUUCCAUCAGGAGAAAAUAAGAUUGAGAAACUUGGUUUGUGUCCUACUUAUAGUGUGCUUAAAUAGUUCUCCUUUACUAAGCGUGGGGAGUUCUGGUAUUUGGAAAGGGUCAUUGUUUUUCCCGAGUCCAAACUGCAUGCAAUAUCUAGCCUAUUUCCUAGCUAGAAAUCCUGCAAUAGCAGUCUUCCACAUCUGUAGGAAUUCAGAAGUUUGGGUUUUUUCUGACUUAAGGCAUAUCUGUUUCCACACUGAAAAGCAAGUCACGUAGUUUUCAUGGCUGUAAGCAGCAGUACAACCUGUUCCUUUUAAGUUGUUCAGUGCUAUGUAGUCUCACUUUCCCAGUUCUUUUUUUUUCUUGUAUAAAAGAAACCCAUACUUUGCUUGCUUUUAGUAUUUUCUAUCUUACUUUGUAAAAUUUUAGAUUCCAUUCUUUCUUAUCUAGCCUUUCCCAAGAGUAGCUUUGAUAGAUCUGAGGAAGUAACUUUGGUAAUGCAACUUUCCUCAUUUCCUGUAUUUCAUUUACUUUGUCAUUCUGAAGAGCCAUGACUAGCGGUUUCACAAACUUACAUUUCCAUUAUCUAAAAGUGUAAUUAAGUGUUGAUUCUCCAAUUUUAGAUCUGUAAGUUCAAUACUCAGUAAAAUGCUAUGAAGUGUAAUUUUUCUUGAGGGAGGUAAAAAAACCAUCUUGAUGGAGAAGGAAGCAGUGAAGAGUAUAAGUUAGGAGGAAGCUAUUCAAAAACAGGAGUUUCUUUGUGGAGAUUACAUUGCAUUUUAGUGAGCUAAAACAGGAAGGUAUUUGUACCUUACUUGUGUGCAGGUUAGCAGUCUGCUGCUCUCUCUGUGAGCAAGGUAUGUUGAGCAAUAUACUGAGUUGAAAGAGACAGUAAAAAUGUGGAAGAAGUUCUGCUUGUGCCAGAAACUGUCACCAGUAUUUUACAAACAAGGCCUGACUCCAGUCUCUGCUGGCAGUGGGCUUUGUGAUGCUAAUCCACCCACUGCCUCUCUUCUGAUGUGUCCACAGUCAGAGUAUCUCACCGAGUCACCUUGUUAAUUCUGUGGCUUUGCUGAAACGGUUUCCGGUUUUCCAGAAUUAGAAUGUGAAUUUGACCACAACUGUAGUAUUUUCUCAGAAUUUUUUAAAAUGUAUCUGUAAACAGAGAAAAGAGGAAUACUUCAUUUGGUGUUCAGCAACUUUCCUUUUCCUAGAUGGGCAAUUGUGGGCUGUAGCCCAUGUGUCAGUAGCAAGUUACUAUACAGACAGCAUUUGCUCUGAUAUAAAGAAAGAAUGGCAAUAAAGGGGAUUAGUGGCUUAGAAAUAAGAUUAAAGGAAACGGAAUUGAAGUAAAAGGCUAAGACUGAUAAGUGAUUGAUAUGUAAAAUCUCAAUAUAUAAAUAGCUGUUGUCAUUGAUGUUAACUAUUGCCUCCAGUAUGAUAAAAACAGUCCAGCUAACCUUUGUCUGUAGGGGUGGGUAUGAAACUCUGUCCUGGUGGUAGUUGAACAGUCUUGCAUUGAUGAAGAAGCAUAGCUCAUACCAAACUUAAAAAAAAUCCCAAAGCUAUAGAAGUAGGAAACCCCUCUAUCCACAUCUUAUAAUUAUCUUAUACUGUAUUUUUAGUUAUUUUUUUUUUUUAGUGAUGUUAAAGUUAGAAUCUGCCACACAUGGUAUAAUAUGUAUAUCCAUAACUGAGGAGAAAGAUGAGUAGAUGAAUCUACAGAUCAGUUAAGCCAGUGCUGAGUACACCUGUAUUUGACCAACCAAUAGUUUCAGCAUGGUGGAUGAAGAUACAGUGUAAGACUUACAGGAAAUGUUGUCAGAGUUGGAAUUUGGCCAGGAUGCUGUGUUUUCCUUAUUGCCUUUGUUGCUGUUAAAGGACCACUUGUUCAUUAAAAUUAUCAAAACAAUUACCUUGGAAAGAGACAGACCAGCAAGCACAGUAUUCUUGUAAUGCAUGUAUGCACGUGGGAAGAAAAACCUGCACCUCAAGAGCAGCACAAAAGAAUUUCAGCCAGUAAGUCAGCUUCAUCGGGGGACCAACUUAAGUGCCUCUAUGCAAUUACAUGUAGCAUGAGGCAUAAACAAGGACUUAGAGGUGUGAGCACACUUGCAGGGCUAUGAUCUCAUUGGCAAGAUGGACAUGUGGUGGAUGGCUCCUGUGACUAGAGUUUUGGAAUGGAAGGGUACAGGCUCUUUAGGAAGGACAGGCAGGGGAGAUGGGGGUGUCACCCUUUAUGUCAGUGACCAGCUGGAGUGCAUAGAGCUCUGCCUGGGGAUGGAUGAGGAGCUGACCAAGAGCUUAUGGGUCAGGAUUAAAGGGAGGGUGGGGACAGGUGACAUUACAGUGGGUGUCUGCUACAGGCCACCCGACCAGGAAGACUGAGUGGAUGAGGCCCUCUAUAGACAGAUAUAGUAGCAGCCUCAUGUUCACAGGUCCUCAUGGGGAAUUAAACCACCCUGAUAUCUGUUGGAGGGACAGCACAGCAGGGCGUAAGCAAUCCAGGAGGUUUUUGGAAUGUGUUGAUGACAACUUCCUUCUCUAAGUGAUGGAGGAGCCAACGAGGAGAGGUGCUGUGCUGGACCUUGUUCUCACCAACAAGGAGAGGGGCUGGUGGGGAAUGUGGAGCUCAAGGGCAGCCUUGGCUGCAGUGACCACGAAAUGGCAGAGUUCGAGAUCCUUAGGGCAGCGAAGAGGGCGUGCAGCAAGCUCGCUACCCUGGACUUCAGGAGAGCAGACUUUGGCCUCUUCAGGGAUCUGCUUGGUAGAGUACCAUGGGAUACAGCCCUGGAGGGGAGAAGGGCCCAAGCAAGCUGGUUAAUAUUCAAGGAUCACCUCCUCCAAGCUCAGGAGCAAUGCAUCCCAACGAAGAGGAAGUCGGGCAAAAACACCAGGAGGCCUGCGUGGAUGAACAAGGAGCUCCUGGACAAACUCCGACACAAAAAGGAAGCUUACAGAAGGUGGAAGCAAAGGCAGGUAGCCUGGGAGGAAUACAGAGAAAUUGUCCAAGCAGCCAGGGAUCAGGCUAGGAAAGCCAAAGCCCUGAUAAAAUUAAAUCUGGCCAGGGAUGUCAAGGGAAACAAGAAAAGCUUCUAUAGGUACAUCAGUGAUAAAAGGAAGACUAGGGAAAAUGUGGGACCUCUCCAGAAGGAAACGGGAGGCCUGGUUACCCGGGACAUGGAGAAGGCUGAGGUACUCAAUGACUUUUUUGCCUCAGUCUUCACCAGCAAGCGCUCCAGCCACACCGUCCAAGUCACGGAAGGCAAGGGCAGGGACUGGGAGAAUGAAGAACUGCCCACUGUAGGAGAAGAUCAAGUUUGAGACCAUCUAAGGACCUGAAGGUGCACAAGUCCAUGGGACCUGAUGAGAUGCAUCCACAGGUCCUGAGGGAACUUGUGGAUGAAAUGGCUAAGCCAUUAUCUAUCAUAUUUGAGAAGUUGUGGCAGUCCGUGGAAGUUCCCACUGACUGGAAAAGGGGAAACAUAACCCCCGUUUUUAAAAAGGGGAAAAAAGGAAGACCUGGGGAACUACAGGCUAGUCAGUCUUACCUUUGUGCCUGGCAAGAUCAUGGAGCGGAUCCUCCUGGAAACUACACUAAGGCACAUGGAAAAUGAGGUGAUUGGUGACAGCCAGCGUGGCUUCACUAAGGGCAAAUCGUGCCUGACAAAUUUGGUGGCCUUCUACGAUGGGGUUACAGCAUUGGUGGAUAAGGGAAUAGCAACGGACGUCAUCUAGCUGGACUUGUACAAAGUGUUUGACACUGUUCUGCAUGACAUCCUUGUCUCUAAAUUGGAGAGACUUGCACUUGGUGGAUGGACCACUCUGUGGAUAAGGAAUUGGCCAGAUGGUCACACUCAAAGAGUUGCAGUCAAUGGCUCUGUGUCCAAGUGGAGACCAGUGAUGAGUGGCGUUCCUCAGGGGUCUGUGUUGGGACUGGUGCUGUUUAACAUCUUUGUUGGCGACAUGGACAGUGGGAUUGAGUGCACUCUCAGCAAGUUUGCCAAUGACACCAAGCUGUGUGGUGUGGUCAACACGUUGGAGGGAAGGGAUGCCAUCCAGAGGGACCUGGACAAGCUUGAGAGGCAGCACGAUACAAUCUGCUCUACAUCGUUCAAUAGGUACUGAGAGAAAGAAUGUAAGACAUGAAAUGGAGCCAUCCUCCCAGUUUCUCUCAGUGGCAGAUUCUGAGUAGAAGCUCCCAAACUGUGUACACAGCAGCAGCAGGUUGAUGAUCACAGGACACCAGGACCCAUUACCGCUGUAUUGACAGUCAGGAUAGUGACAGGUACUGCUACCUGGCAUGUUUAAACAGGCCCUGUGCUGCUUGCAGUUGUUCUACUUUUUUAGCUCUCUAUAAUUUCCUUUCAUUCAACUUCCUCAUUUUCUUUUUUUUUUUUUUUUUUAAAGUUCCUAUUUCUAAAGGAAAAAGUUGUGGUGAAUUUUUUUUUUUAGCCUUUUCCUGUCUGGCAAAGAUACCAGGUAUACGUAUGUAGUAAUUGUAAGUCGUUCUUCUGAAGCUGUGUCUUUAGCCAGGUCCUGUGCUUGCUCAAAUCUGCUUCAAGGUGUUUUUCUUACUGGGGGAUUGAGUGAGAUUCUCUGGAAAAUUGAUCUGAUAUCUUUAAAAAGAAAGAAAUCUGUACAUUGUCCUCCUCUGAAAUUCUUAAUUUCUUAUUUUUCAGCUUUGUAGCCUUCCCAAUCUCCUUGGCAAGAACCACCAAGUUUCUUGUGGAUGCUACCACUACUGUGAUUGCUUCCUUGAUAGUAUAGAUCUUAUACAAUCCUGGGUGGAUUAAAAUAUAUUAUAGAAAUUUAGCUUGACUUUUCUCACCUUCCUUUUGUUUGUGUGUCUGCUUUUGUAAUGCAUGAUGCUGCUUCCCCUCUGGCAUGCCCUUGCCUGUCAGCACUCCAUAAUUUGUAGGGGUGGCAUUAGUUUCUGAGUAAGUAGUCCUGCCAUCAAGUGUAAGAUUCCUUUUAUAUCAGUAUUCUCCUUUUAGACUGAAAUUUAGACACCCUUGAAGUGGUCAGGCAGUUCGACUAGAUGAUCGUUGUAGGUCCCUUCCAACUGAAAUAUACCAUUAUAAAUUUAUAGUUUAUCUUAAUAUCUAGAUUUCAUGGAGGUGAACAGAAACACCUACCCAUUUCUUCCUGCAACAGGCACUUAAUGUGCCUGAACUUUGACUUCUUCUCUGUCCUUUAUUUAGGGUGUGGUGUUUUCAUGCCUAUCACAGGGGAUUUUACGCUGUGCUAUAAUAACUUAUUCUAUUGCUUCUGAGUCUAAGCCUCUUCAGGCCUGAUUCGAAUUUUGGUAGAAGUAGAGCCCAUUCUUGUGUCUAGUAUUUUUUUGUCAAAAAGCAUUGUUUUGUGUUUUGGGAUAUUUUAGGAAAUAGGAAGCAGAAAUACCUUUAUCUUGCAGCCUUUUUAUCACCCAUUUUCAGCAUGCCUUAAUAUCUAUUGAUCAAUGUGCUGUACUUUUAAUCAGUAAUGUUGCAUGAAACAGCUCUUGCUCUUUAGCCUCUUACCUUACUGGCUAAACUUUGUGUCUAGGACUAUAUUUAUGUUCUGUAUCUGAUAUGCACAAAUGUUGCUGUUGCUGACUGCUUCUGUUGUGGCCCAGGUGAUGCCCAGGGAUGCUUUAUAAGAAUUUCGUCGUUUACAGUUGACCUGAUAACUAUCAGCUGCCUUCUUUUCGUUGGGAUGCAAGAAGGUUUUCACCUGCCCAAGGGGACACUGACAUCUAGUGGAUGGGUUCCACAGACACAGGGCAAGCAAACUGCUGCUUUAAGGCUGUCUUUCUUCUGGAUUUUACCUAAAUUUUGCUUUUGUUUAG